UAGAGAGUGGGAAACCAAUUUUCUCCCAUUCAAACAAAGCUGCAAAUAUCUAACCAAAUGCCGUGCCGAAACCCGAUGCAAGGCCAGACAAGCUGUAUAAAUAUACCUCACCAUUUAACCCCAUUUGUGUUCAUCUUAGCAAAUCUAUUACAUCAUAAAAAAGAAAAUGGCUGGAAACUCUUUGAGGUCUGCUUUCGUGACCCUCUUCGUGUUUGCAAUCAUCUUAUCUCCAAAGGUAACAUGCGAUGCAGCUCGGUUCACUCAAGAAGUUGUAUGUCCUGCUUGUGUAUGCUGCACACCUGCACCACCGGGGUCUUGUUGCCAGUGCUGCGCUACUCCCAUCGAGACAUCGUCCGAGAAUGGGUCACCCUGAGCUUAGUACUGAUAUCCAUCUUUCAAAUGCUGCCAAGACCUGUGCGGGCAGCAGUAUAAUACAUAUAUUAUGAAUAAAAGGAAUUUCUGCACUCUACAAAUCACUUUGAUUUCUGAGAAUAAAUUAGUCUGUUUAUUUGCUGUAAUCAAACGAAAUGAUUCUUGAAUAAAAGAACUUCCUCGUGGAUCCA